GCAUCGGUGGUUCAGUGGUAGAAUGCUCGCCUGGCACGCGGGCGGCCCGUGUUUGGUUCCCGGCCGAUGCA
rnacentral:tRNA from 1 species